rnacentral:rRNA from 1 species
CCGGUUUAUUAAAGUGGGUGUGAAAGCUCCUGCUCAACUAGGAGAGUCGCUCAAGACUGAUAGACUCGAGAGCAGUAGGGAAAGUGAAUUCCGGAGUAGUGUGAAAUGCGUAGAUAUCCGGAGGAACACCAGUGCGAAGGCGGCCUUCUAGACUGUAUCUGACGCUCAGACGCGAAAGCUAGGGUAGCAAACGGGAUUAGAGACCCCGGUAGUCCUAGCCGUAAACGAUGUGAACUUGGCGCUGGCUGGGUAAAACCGAUCAGUGCCCGAAGCAAACGCGAUAAGUUCACCACCUGGGGACUACGGCCGCAAGGUUAAAACUCAAAGGAAUUGACGGGGGCCCCGCACAAGCAGCGGAGCGUGUGGUUUAAUUCGAUGCUACACGAAGAACCUUACCAGGGCUUGACAUGCAUGUGGUAGCGAAGCGAAAGCGGAGCGACCCUUCGGGGAGCAUGCACAGGUGCUGCAUGGCUGUCGUCAGCUCGUGUCGUGAGAUGUUCGGUUAAGUCCGCUAACGAGCGCAACCCUCGCCGUGUGUUAUACGUGUCACGCGGAACUGCCAGUCUUAAGCUGGAGGAAGGUGGGGAUGACGUCAAGUCAGCAUGGCCUUUAUGUCCUGGGCUACACACACGCUACAAUGGCCAGUACAACAGGUAGCGAAGCCGCGAGGCGGAGCCAAUCCCUAAAGCUGGUCUCAGUUCAGAUUGCAGGCUGCAACUCGCCUGCAUGAAGAUGGAGUUGCUAGUAACCGCAGGUCAGCUAUACUGCGGUGAAUACGUUCCCGGCCUUGCACACACCGCCCGUC